rnacentral:rRNA from 1 species
GGAGGCAGCAGUGGGGAAUAUUGGGCAAUGGGCGCAAGCCUGACCCAGCAACGCCGCGUGAAGGAAGAAGGCUUUCGGGUUGUAAACUUCUUUUAAGUGGGAGGAGUAGAAGACGGUACCACUUGAAUAAGCCACGGCUAACUACGUGCCAGCAGCCGCGGUAAUACGUAGGUGGCAAGCGUUGUCCGGAUUUACUGGGUAUAAAGGGCGUGCAGCCGGGCAUGCAAGUCAGAUGUGAAAUCUCAGGGCUUAACCCUGAAACUGCAUUUGAAACUGUAUGUCUUGAGUGCCGGAGAGGUAAUCGGAAUUCCUUGUGUAGCGGUGAAAUGCGUAGAUAUAAGGAAGAACACCAGUGGCGAAGGCGGAUUACUGGACGGUAACUGACGGUGAGGCGCGAAAGCGUGGGGAGCGAACAGGAUUAGAUACCAUGGUAGUCCACGCUGUAAACGAUGGAUACUAGGUGUGCGGGGACUGACCCCCUGCGUGCCGCAGUUAACACAAUAAGUAUCCCACCUGGGGAGUACGAUCGCAAGGUUGAAACUCAAAGGAAUUGACGGGGGCCCGCACAAGCGGUGGAUUAUGUGGUUUAAUUCGAAGCAACGCGAAGAACCUUACCAGGUCUUGACAUCCUGCUAACGAAGUAGAGAUACAUUAGGUGCCCUUCGGGGAAAGCAGAGACAGGUGGUGCAUGGUUGUCGUCAGCUCGUGUCGUGAGAUGUUGGGUUAAGUCCCGCAACGAGCGCAACCCCUAUUGUUAGUUGCUACGCAAGAGCACUCUAGCGAGACUGCCGUUGACAAAACGGAGGAAGGUGGGGACGACGUCAAAUCAUCAUGCCCCUUAUGACCUGGGCUACACACGUAAUACAAUGGCGGUCAACAAAGGGAUGCAAAGCCGCGAGGCAGAGCGAACCCCAAAAAGCCGUCCCAGUUCGGAUCGCAGGCUGCAACCCGCCUGCGUGAAGUCGGAAUCGCUAGUAAUCGUGGGUCAGCAUACCACGGUGAAUACGUUCCCGGGCCUUGUACACACCGCCCGUCACACCAUGAGAGUCGGGAACACCCGAAGUCCGUAGCCUAACCGUAAGGAGGGCGCGGCCGAAGGUGGGUUCGAUAAUUGGGGUGAAGUCGUAACAAGGUAGCCGUACUAGUACGAUAU